rnacentral:rRNA from 1 species
AUGUCAACCAUGCCGAAUACGACUGCGCUGGCAACUUCGCUAGAGGGCAUGACAACCCAUGGCGGGCUCAUGUAUGCCGAUGCUCUUGAUUUGUCCACUGUUGACUUUACCGGGAUAGGAGGCCCUCCACCUGCACAUAAGUUUGUUGUCUGUGCAUGGACGGACGCUGCUGUCAAGGUUGUGCUUGCCGUAGACAGGAUAACCAAUACGAAAUAUGGAAAACUGCAGUCUGAUGCCAAGAAUGCUAUAGACUGCAGUGUGUUUGGUGGGCCACAAUACUUUGGCAAGUGGAUGGAUGUGCAUUCAACUCCAUCUUGUCCUACUAAGGGGAAGGCACUUGUUGAGCAUCUAGUUGGGCAGUUUGCCUCUGGCAUGACCAGCUUGCUCGGGAAGUUGGUUGAGGGUUGGACGACACUUAAUGGCUCCGACAGCGAUGCAGUUGCGAGGCAGUUCACAUCAUUCGUUGAAGAACGGACACAUCGACCAACUGGUUGCCGUGGCCGGUACAACUACAACAGCUCACAGGAGCUUCCCGACACGCAAGAUGAUCUAGAUGGAGACGCCGGUCUCGACAAGGACGAUGACGAUGACAUGGAGAAUGUGUAA